rnacentral:rRNA from 1 species
UACGGAGGGUGCGAGCGUUGUUCGGAAUUAUUGGGCGUAAAGAGCGUGUAGGCGGUUUGGUAAGUCAGAUGUGAAAGCCCUGGGCUCAACCCAGGAAGUGCAUUUGAUACUGCCUUACUUGAGUAUGGGAGAGGAGAGUGGAAUUCCCAGUGUAGAGGUGAAAUUCGUAGAUAUUGGGAAGAACACCCGUGGCGAAGGCGACUCUCUGGACCAAUACUGACGCUGAGACGCGAAAGCGUGGGGAGCAAACAGG